rnacentral:rRNA from 1 species
UGCUGGAGGUAUCAGAAGUGCGAAUGCUGACAUAAGUAACGAUAAAGCGGGUGAAAAGCCCGCUCGCCGGAAGACCAAGGGUUCCUGUCCAACGUUAAUCGGGGCAGGGUGAGUCGACCCCUAAGGCGAGGCCGAAAGGCGUAGUCGAUGGGAAACAGGUUAAUAUUCCCGUACUUGGUGUUACUGCGAAGGGGGGACGGAGAAGGCUAUGUUGGCCGGGCGACGGUUGUCCCGGUUUAAGCGUGUAGGCUGGUUUUCCAGGCAAAUCCGGAAAAUCAAGGCUGAGGCGUGAUGACGAGGCACUACGGUGCUGAAGCAACAAAUGCCCUGCUUCCAGGAAAAGCCUCUAAGCAUCAGGUAACAUCAAAUCGUACCCCAAACCGACACAGGUGGUCAGGUAGAGAAUACCAAGGCGCUUGAGAGAACUCGGGUGAAGGAACUAGGCAAAAUGGUGCCGUAACUUCGGGAGAAGGCACGCUGACACGUAGGUGAAGUGAUUUACUCAUGGAGCUGAAGUCAGUCGAAGAUACCAGCUGGCUGCAACUGUUUAUUAAAAACACAGCACUGUGCAAACACGAAAGUGGACGUAUACGGUGUGACGCCUGCCCGGUGCCGGAAGGUUAAUUGAUGGGGUCAGCGCAAGCGAAGCUCCUGAUCGAAGCCCCGGUAAACGGCGGCCGUAACUAUAACGGUCCUAAGGUAGCGAAAUUCCUUGUCGGGUAAGUUCCGACCUGCACGAAUGGCGUAAUGAUGGCCAGGCUGUCUCCACCCGAGACUCAGUGAAAUUGAACUCGCUGUGAAGAUGCAGUGUACCCGCGGCAAGACGGAAAGACCCCGUGAACCUUUACUAUAGCUUGACACUGAACAUUGAGCCUUGAUGUGUAGGAUAGGUGGGAGGCUUUGAAGUGUGGACGCCAGUCUGCAUGGAGCCGACCUUGAAAUACCACCCUUUAAUGUUUGAUGUUCUAACGUGGACCCGUAAUCCGGGUUGCGGACAGUGUCUGGUGGGUAGUUUGACUGGGGCGGUCUCCUCCUAAAGAGUAACGGAGGAGCACGAAGGUUGGCUAAUCCUGGUCGGACAUCAGGAGGUUAGUGCAAUGGCAUAAGCCAGCUUGACUGCGAGCGUGACGGCGCGAGCAGGUGCGAAAGCAGGUCAUAGUGAUCCGGUGGUUCUGAAUGGAAGGGCCAUCGCUCAACGGAUAAAAGGUACUCCGGGGAUAACAGGCUGAUACCGCCCAAGAGUUCAUAUCGACGGCGGUGUUUGGCACCUCGAUGUCGGCUCAUCACAUCCUGGGGCUGAAGUAGGUCCCAAGGGUAUGGCUGUUCGCCAUUUAAAGUGGUACGCGAGCUGGGUUUAGAACGUCGUGAGACAGUUCGGUCCCUAUCUGCCGUGGGCGCUGGAGAACUGAGGGGGGCUGCUCCUAGUACGAGAGGACCGGAGUGGACGCAUCACUGGUGUUCGGGUUGUCAUGCCAAUGGCACUGCCCGGUAGCUAAAUGCGGAAGAGAUAAGUGCUGAAAGCAUCUAAGCACGAAACUUGCCCCGAGAUGAGUUCU